UGAGCAAUCUGCCCUUCUCAUCGGAAUAAGCGUUGGAAACGACGUCUAAUGCCGAAUAUGACCUCCUUUCGCAUGAUCGGAGGUGGAAAGCUCCGGCGGAGAAGGAUGAGCUCGCGGCCUAUCAGCUAGUUGGUGUGGGUAAUGGCCCACCAAGGCGACGACGGGUAGCCGGCCUGAGAGGGCGAUCGGCCACACUGGGACUGAGACACGGCCCAGACCUCUACGGGAGG
rnacentral:rRNA from 1 species